AGAACAUGAUAGGUCCAAUAACCAUAUACACCAAAAUGAAGAGGAAAAGAAAAAAAAGAAAUAAUGUUCAAUUGAAUUGGAAGCGGCGAGAAAAAUAACCAUUAAAAAACAAGCCUGACUUGGCAAGGAGCUUGCUUAGUUCCAUUAAAUGAAGAUAUGGAGUCCACAAUGUUUAUCUAUAAAUAAAACUACUGUCAUACUGAAAGUCUGAAGAAGAAAAAUACAAAAUUCCUAUCACACUUUUGACUAUCACAUACUAGUAGUAGAAUUGCCAUAAAAAAACACAAGCACAUCCAAGUUACCUUUCCCAUAUAAGGAUCAAUUAG
rnacentral:misc_RNA from 1 species